GACCCUUCUAUAAGUCACACUGGGUCAGUGCACUUGGCUGUGAACCAGAAGGUUGGUGGUUCAAGCCCACCCAGGGACA